rnacentral:rRNA from 1 species
AACGAACGCUGGCGGCAUGCCUAACACAUGCAAGUCGAACGAGACCUUCGGGUCUAGUGGCGCACGGGUGCGUAACGCGUGGGAAUCUGCCCUUAGGUUCGGAAUAAACUUCGGGAAACUGAAGCUAAUACCGGAUGAUGACGUAAGUCCAAAGAUUUAUCGCCUAAGGAUGAGCCCGCGUUGGAUUAGCUAGUUGGUGAGGUAAAGGCUCACCAAGGCGACGAUCCAUAGCUGGUCUGAGAGGAUGAUCAGCCACACUGGGACUGAGACACGGCCCAGACUCCUACGGGAGGCAGCAGUGGGGAAUAUUGGACAAUGGGCGAAAGCCUGAUCCAGCAAUGCCGCGUGAGUGAUGAAGGCCUUAGGGUUGUAAGCUCUUUACCCGGGAUGAUAAUGACAGUACCGGGA